rnacentral:lncRNA from 1 species
AACAGGCAACCCUGCAGUGGUAGUAGUGGUGACAGCAGCAGCGGCAAUGAUGGAAGCCUGCAGGAGCCAAGAGUGUAAGAAAUGGAAACCGCUUUCUCUAUUUUCUCUGGAGCUAUAGAUUCAGACGGUUAUCUUAACAGUCUGCAACAAUAUACUGAGAGAAGCACUAACGAAACUGCAUUUCUCUGUCAUGCUGUGCCAGCUGUAGUAUGUGGGAAACCUUGUCUCUCCCAAGUACCUUCUGUCUCUGGCAGCUCCAUGUAAACUUCAGGAAUGGUCAGUGCUGA